rnacentral:rRNA from 1 species
UACGUAGGGGGCAAGCGUUGUCCGGAAUUACUGGGCGUAAAGCGCGCGCAGGCGGUCUUCCAAGUCAGUGGUGAAAGCCCGGAGCUCAACUCCGGAACUGCCAUUGAAACUGUUAGACUUGAGGAUGAGAGAGGUGAGUGGAAUUCCCAGUGUAGAGGUGAAAUUCGUAGAUAUUGGGAAGAACACCGGUGGCGAAGGCGGCUCACUGGCUCAUUACUGACGCUCAGGCGCGAUAGCGUGGGGAUCAAACAGG